CCCAUUGAUUGACGGUGCUUGCAUCUGAUUGAUUUUCGUUGCCAACGAGUGGCGGACGGGUGAGUAACACGUAGGUAACCUGCCCAGAAGUGGGGGACAACAUUUGGAAACAGAUGCUAAUACCGCAUAACAGCGUUGUUCGCAUGAACAACGCUUAAAAGAUGGCUUCUCGCUAUCACUUCUGGAUGGACCUGCGGUGCAUUAGCUUGUUGGUGGGGUAACGGCCUACCAAGGCGAUGAUGCAUAGCCGAGUUGAGAGACUGAUCGGCCACAAUGGGACUGAGACACGGCCCAUACUCCUACGGGAGGCAGCAGUAGGGAAUCUUCCACAAUGGGCGCAAGCCUGAUGGAGCAACACCGCGUGAGUGAAGAAGGGUUUCGGCUCGUAAAGCUCUGUUGUUAAAGAAGAACACGUAUGAGAGUAACUGUUCAUACGUUGACGGUAUUUAACCAGAAAGUCACGGCUAACUACGUGCCAGCAGCCGCGGUAAUACGUAGGUGGCAAGCGUUAUCCGGAUUUAUUGGGCGUAAAGAGAGUGCAGGCGGUUUUCUAAGUCUGAUGUGAAAGCCUUCGGCUUAACCGGAGAAGUGCAUCGGAAACUGGAUAACUUGAGUGCAGAAGAGGGUAGUGGAACUCCAUGUGUAGCGGUGGAAUGCGUAGAUAUAUGGAAGAACACCAGUGGCGAAGGCGGUUACCUGGUCUGCAACUGACGCUGAGACUCGAAAGCAUGGGUAGCGAACAGGAUUAGAUACCCUGGUAGUCCAUGCCGUAAACGAUGAGUGCUAGGUGUUGGAGGGUUUCCGCCCUUCAGUGCCGGAGCUAACGCAUUAAGCACUCCGCCUGGGGAGUACGACCG
rnacentral:rRNA from 1 species